GCCAGAGAGCUUGCUCUCGGGUGACGAGCGGCGGACGGGUGAGUAAUGUCUGGGAAACUGCCUGAUGGAGGGGGAUAACUACUGGAAACGGUAGCUAAUACCGCAUAAUGUCGCAAGACCAAAGUGGGGGACCUUCGGGCCUCAUGCCAUCAGAUGUGCCCAGAUGGGAUUAGCUAGUAGGUGGGGUAACGGCUCACCUAGGCGACGAUCCCUAGCUGGUCUGAGAGGAUGACCAGCCACACUGGAACUGAGACACGGUCCAGACUCCUACGGGAGGCAGCAGUGGGGAAUAUUGCACAAUGGGCGCAAGCCUGAUGCAGCCAUGCCGCGUGUGUGAAGAAGGCCUUCGGGUUGUAAAGCACUUUCAGCGGGGAGGAAGGCGUUGAGGUUAAUAACCUUGUCGAUUGACGUUACCCGCAGAAGAAGCACCGGCUAACUCCGUGCCAGCAGCCGCGGUAAUACGGAGGGUGCAAGCGUUAAUCGGAAUUACUGGGCGUAAAGCGCACGCAGGCGGUCUGUCAAGUCAGAUGUGAAAUCCCCGGGCUCAACCUGGGAACUGCAUUCGAAACUGGCAGGCUAGAGUCUUGUAGAGGGGGGUAGAAUUCCAGGUGUAGCGGUGAAAUGCGUAGAGAUCUGGAGGAAUACCGGUGGCGAACGCGGCCCCCUGGACAAAGACUGACGCUCAGGUGCGAAAGCGUGCGGAGCAAACAGGAUUAGAUACCCUGGUAGUCCACGCCCUAAACG
rnacentral:rRNA from 1 species